rnacentral:rRNA from 1 species
CAGUCGCCGCGGUAAUACGAAGGGGGCUAGCGUUGUUCGGAAUUACUGGGCGUAAAGCGCACGUAGGCGGAUUUUUAAGUCAGGGGUGAAAUCCCGAGGCUCAACCUCGGAACUGCCUUUGAUACUGGAGAUCUUGAGUUCGGAAGAGGUUGGUGGAACAGCUAGUGUAGAGGUGAAAUUCGUAGAUAUUAGCUAGAACACCAGUGGCGAAGGCGGCCAACUGGUCCGAUACUGACGCUGAGGUGCGAAAGCGUGGGGAGCAAACAGGAUUAGAUACCCGAGUAGUCCCUGUCUCUUAUAC